AGUGAACGCUGGCGGUAGGCCUAACACAUGCAAGUCGAACGGCAGCACAGUAAGAGCUUGCUCUUACGGUUGGCGAGUGGCGGACGGGUGAGGAAUACAUCGGAAUCUACUUUUUCGUGGGGGAUAACGUAGGGAAACUUACGCUAAUACCGCAUACGACCUACGGGUGAAAGCAGGGGAUCUUCGGACCUUGCGCGAUUGAAUGAGCCGAUGUCGGAUUAGCUAGUUGGCGGGGUAAAGGCCCACCAAGGCGACGAUCCGUAGCUGGUCUGAGAGGAUGAUCAGCCACACUGGAACUGAGACACGGUCCAGACUCCUACGGGAGGCAGCAGUGGGGAAUAUUGGACAAUGGGCGCAAGCCUGAUCCAGCAAUACCGCGUGGGUGAAGAAGGCCUUCGGGUUGUAAAGCCCUUUUGUUGGGAAAGAAAAGAAGCAGGUUAAUACCCCGCUGUUCUGACGGUACCCAAAGAAUAAGCAACGGCUAACUUCGUG
rnacentral:rRNA from 1 species